GCCCGGGUAGCUCAACCGGUAGAGCGUGUGGCUCUUAACCUCAAGGUCGUGGGUUCGAGCCCCACCUCGGGCU
rnacentral:tRNA from 1 species